AGAGUUUGAUCCUGGCUCAGGAUCAACGCUGGCGGCGUGCCUAAUGCAUGCAAGUCGGGCGCGGUCCCUUUCGGGGGAGCUGCGCGGCGGACGGGUGCGUAACACGUGGGCAACCUGCCCUGGGGUGGGGGAUAGCCGUGGGAAACCGCGGGUAAUUCCGCAUACGUUGCUUCUUCGAUCGGGAGGAGCAAGAAAGGGAGCAAUCCCGCCCUGGGAGGGGCCUGCGGCCGAUUAGCUGGACGGUGGGGUAACGGCCUACCGUGGCGAUGAUCGGUAGCUGGUCUGAGAGGACGGCCAGCCACACGGGGACUGAGACACGGCCCCGACUCCUACGGGAGGCAGCAGCAAGGAAUCUUCCGCAAUGGGGGCAACCCUGACGGAGCAACGCCGCGUGGGGGAUGACGCGCUUCGGCGUGUAAACCCCUUUUCUUCGGGAAGAAGGGCUUCGGUCUUGACGGUACCGGAGGAAGAAGGACCGGCUAACUACGUGCCAGCAGCCGCGGUAAUACGUAGGGUCCGAGCGUUGUCCGGAGUUACUGGGCGUAAAGCGCGCGCAGGCGGCGGUGCUGGCCCGGCGUGAAAGCCCCCGGCUCAACCGGGGAGGGUCGUCGGGGACCGCACCGCUUGAGGGCGGUAGGGGCUGGUGGAAUGCCUGGUGUAGUGGUGAAAUGCGUAGAGAUCAGGCGGAACACCCGUGGCGAAGGCGGCCAGCUGGGCCGUCCCUGACGCUGAGGCGCGAAGGCGUGGGGAGCGAACGGGAUUAGAUACCCUAGUAGUCC
rnacentral:rRNA from 1 species